rnacentral:lncRNA from 1 species
AAAGCCCCAGCAAAAUGAUUUUGCAGCCUUCUGGACACACCUUAUCUCAAUGGUCUUCUGGAUCUGUACUUCGCUGACAUGCUUAGGAAUUCGCUCCUGCUCCUGCUCCACAGCAAACAACGGAGCCUCGCUCAGUUUCUAGCUGAGUCCAGAAACCCUGGAUCACUGAGUUAGCCUCCUGCCAGCUCUAGAAUGGCCACACUAGCACCAGCCCUGUUCGUCAUCCUGGUGAGUCUUCCCGUGUGUUUUCUUUGCUACUUUUUUUUUUCCAGUUUGCCA